GACGUGAUGCCAUUACAACUUUUAAUGAAGGGUAAUUCUGUAAUUUGAUGGAUGCCCUAGCCCUAGAAAUGUCUAAUUUGCAGCAUAUAAAAGGUUGCUUGGGGUUAUCAUAUUGCCUUUUGAGAGAGAAAAAAAAUGAAGUUAUAAACAAGGGAUUCAAAGAUUCAUCAUGUUUAUCAUCUUACAAGAGUUUUCAGGUAAGUUUUUACUUUAGAAUCAUGAUUAUGGUGUAAUUAUAUGUACAAAGCUCACCAUUAUUAAGUAUUCUUGUCAAAUUUUGGGAUAAUAAAAAAAAAGCAAGAUGCUUGCAUAUUAUCAAAUUUUUUUGAUGAAAAAUUAUGAAAUAUAUAUAUAUUUUCAUUAUUUUUAUCAUAUGUUCUACAAGGUGCAUAAUUUUAUUUUUGGUACCAUUAUUUAGAAGGAAAUGAGUGAAGUGUGAAAAGUGUGUUGAGAUUCGAACUCAAGACCACAAAAGUGUAUUUUAUAGAAGUGCAAAUACUUUAUAAGUUAAGUGCGAAAGAUUGUAGUAAGAGUGUGUUUUUUUUUGGGGUGGGUGGAGGGAUCCUCUAGAUACUAGUCUCAUUGUAGUACCGCAGAUUUUAAUAUUUAUGCAUAAAGUUAAACGCAAAUAUAUAUAAUAGGAUUAAAUAAAAUAGGCAUGCAUUUAUGAAUUGUAUAUGUAUAUUUGAAGUUAUGCAUUGAAUGAAUUCAAAUAUGUAUGUUUAUUUGUAUUUAACAUUAUUAUGCAUAAAAAAUAAUUUAUAUAGUACUACGAUAAGCUACGAGAUCCAUAUAUAUAGCAUAUAUAGGGAAGAAGUCUCGAGCACACAAGAUUUUAGGAAUUGUGUUCGUAUGAUAUUACCAAAUUAAAAUAAAUUGAUGAUUAUCACAGUCAUCAAUUACCUUUUCAUUGAUCAAUUUGGCUCUCAUUUUCGUUGAUUGAUCUAAAGCAAUUGUCAUUACAAUUGAAAAUUUGAUCCAAUUGUGUGCAUAUGUUGACCUAGCGGUAGGAGGUUAAUGCUCAUAGCAUGAGGUCUUAGGUUUGAGUCCAUCAUCGUGCGAUUUUUAAAUUUCUUUACUUAUGUAAUUUAUUAAAAAAAAAUGACCCAACUUUUUCUUUUUCCAAAGCCCCAUCUAUUUUUCUACUAUAAGAAACUAAGCUCAAGUAUUUGCGAACUUAAGUCUUUUGUUUGGCUUUUUAGUGAGAAUAACUCAUUAAAAAUGAUUUUGAUCUAGUUCAUGGCUUAUUAAAAGUAGAAGGCACUCAAGUUAGACAAUUAGAAUAUUUUGCAGAACAAGUACAUUAAAAUGCUUUUUGAAAAUGCUUUUUGUCUAUAUUUUUGGUAAUUCUUUUGAUGUGGUAAGACCAUGAAAAUUAUACUCCAUUCGUUCCAUGAAUCUUGAGUCACUUUUUUUUUUUGGCAAAAAAAAUUCAUUUUAUUCACCUUUUCAAUUUUUCACCUACCACACUCAACACACUAAAUACCAUUUUUUAAAUUCCCGUGCCGAAAAGAAUUGACUCAAGAUUCGCGGGAUGAAAAGAGUAGUUUUAUUACCGUUUCGUUCAUUUAUGACAAUGGUAGUUUUUUCUUUUAUUUUUGAUUUUUUUUAAGUCUCAUUCAUACUUAAUAUUUAUAAAAAACUCAAUCAUUUAACACAUCAUUUUUUUUUUGUAAUCUUAUUAUUAUCAUUUUGUCCAUCCAUAAAAUUUGUAAUUGUUUUUUGAAAAUUUCUAUAUUUGAAAUUUCAUUCACACUUAAUAUUUACAAAAAACUCAAUCAUUUAAUACAUCACUUUUUGUAAUCUUAUUACUCCCUCUAUUCCACUUCACUUGACCUAGUUUUCUUUUCGGGCUGUCCCACUCGACUUGGCCAGUUUUCUUUUUGAGUAAUAAAUUUAUAGUACAAUAAAUAUGGGCCCACAUACUUUAUUUUAUUUUACACUACAAUCUUACUCUUUUUAAUAACCGUGCCGAAAAGAACCACACUAUAAUCUUACUCUCCUUAAUAACCGUGUAAAAAAGAACUAGGCCAAGUGAGGUGAGACAGAGGGAGUAUUAUUUUAUCCAUCCAUGAAAAUUGUAUUUUUUUUUGAAAUUUUUUAUAUUUUAAAUCUCUUUCGCACUUAAUAUUACAAAAAACUCAAUCAUAUAACACAUCAACUUUGAUGGGUUCAUUUGUUCACUCAAUUUUGAUGGAUCUCCUUCUAUACUUUAUGCACGUUCACUACAACACAUUUUUCAACCAUUUAUUAAAAUUAGUGUCCUCCACAUUACAAUUUUCAUGGACGGAUGAAGUAUUAUCUAAAUUUUUCUUGAAGACAUAUCUCUGCGCUUGAUACUUUUGAUUAAUUUAAUGUUUACUCUUACUCCCUUCGUCCAUGAUUUAAUGCCCUAUUUGGGUGUGAGGCAAGGAGACUAAGAAAGCUGAAAAAUGUGAUGUGGAUGAAAUAUAAGGGUAGUUAACUAAAGUGAUAAAGAUAGUUGACUAAGGGCCUGUUUGAUGCGGUCUAUUAACAUGGAUAAAUUACAUUUCUAAUGUUUGAUGCGAUUGUUUAUUAAUAAGUGAAGCCCGCAUUUAUUUCGGGGCCCGCCGUUAUUUUACUGUAGCAGCAACAUUAUUGAUCCAGCAAUGAAGGCGAGAUUUUUAAUACUGAUAGCUACAGUUGCUGGGAUUAUAAUUGAAGAAGUCGAAAUUGUCCCUCUUCACCAAAUUGGCGCUUCUUUUCUUCUUCCCAUUUUUUGUCUUAUGUUUUCAAAGGAUAUAGAUGUAAUUUCUAGGUUUAAGUGGAGGGUAUGGUAGUCAUUUCACAAUAUAAGCUACACCAUAAUGUAUUUUAAUGGCUGCUAUCAAACAAUAAAUUCCUAUUAACUAGAGGUUAUUCAGGAGCUAUCAAACAAUGAUAAAUUUAAUUAAUCUAAUGAAUGUGUAUUAGGUAUCUAUAAGUAAUUAAUCUCUAUAUUACCAUCAAACAGGCCCUAAAGUGAUAAAGAUGUUUUGAGUGGGUCCACUAGUGAUAAAGUGUAGUAAAUAUAGAAUAUAAAAAUGAUAAAAGGUAAGGUGGGUCCAUUAGUGGCAAAUGGUAGUAAAUAUAGGAAAAGAAGAAGAGUAAAAGGGUACAAAAAGCAGAAUAGAGCAUUAAAUUGUGGACAGAUUUUUAAAGGCAAGUAGGGCAUUAAAUUGUGGACGGAGGGAGUAUAUAGCAAUGAAAUAUCUAUGACUUAGUACAUAAUAAAUUAUCCGUCUCUUUUGCAACAUAGACGAAUGUUCAAAUUAAAUAGAAUCAUCGUAUGAAAAUAUGAUUUAGAGGGUGUUCGGCUAGUCUUGUUCUAAUAAGUUUAUAACAUAAAGUUGUUUAAAAGCUUAUAAAUUAUUAAAGUGUUUUGAUAAUUAAUCUUAUAAGUUAGAGAGAGAAUUUUUAGUGAGAGGGACGAAAUUGAAGAUAGAUAAAAUUAGAAUGAUAUAUGAUGAAUUAAAAAAAUAUAGUUUAGUUAUUUUUGUAAAAUGAGGAUUGCUUAUAAGAUAAUUAGAAAAUAAGUUGAGGUAGAGGAACUUAUUUUUUUAAAAACUUAUAAGUUCUUAAAACUUAUUUUUACAGCUUAUAAAUCCUUUAGGAAUUUAUUUUACCAAAACUUUGAAAAAUAUUUUGAAGGAGCUUAUAGGUUAUUCUAAAAAGCUUAUAAGCGUGCAGGGUCAACUAAGAGCAUGACAUCGAAAUAUCUACAUUUGAUGCAUGUAUUUUCUUUUAUUUGUUUUUUGCUAAUCAAGAUCAGCUUCACAUCGAAAAAUAGCUAUGCACUUGAGUUAAUAUCCUUAUUGUUUGCACAAUCUUUAGCACUCCAUUUCACUUAAAUUGAAUAUGCUCCCUCCGUCCCACCGAAUUUGAGUCGUAUUCAUUUUCAUGCUGUGUCCCAUCGAGCUUGAUUCAUUUCCUUUUUUGGCAGAACUUAGGCAAUUUAAAACACUAAUUUACAAAAUUAAUUGCACCCCUUAUUACCUUCUCUCUCCUACUUUAUCACUUUAUUACAUUUUCUCUCUUACUUUAUCACUUUAUUCUUUUCUCUCUUCUACUUUAUCAAUUUUAUACUAGACACUUAAAACACUAAUCUACAAUUUCUUAAUUCUCGUGCCCAAAAGAAACGCCUCAAGCUCGGCGAGACGGAGGGAGUAUAUGGCAACGGAAAUUUCCAUUUGUUUAUUUGCACGAGAACCAAAAAAUGUUUCAGUAACAAUAUUUCAAGCCUGCCAUUACACGAAGCUCUCAUUGCUGUUGUGCCUAUCUUCUGCAUCUAUCAGUUUCUGAAGCUCAUCAAUAGCAUUGUUUACUGCAUGAAGGAUCAUCUUUUUCACCUGCUCAAUACAAAAUCGUUAAGUAUUAACCGAUAGCUUGUUCAUCUAUUAGGUACGAGAUAACGAAAACCUACUUCUAAUUUGUCUUCUUUGGCUCUGUGAUCCCUUGGAAGCUUCCUGAAUUCCUCAGUCAGUUUAAGGCACUCAUGCAAAUUUUCUGGAGAAACAAAGUCAGCAGCGACCUUGGUGCACGACUGCAAAAGCGUAAACAGGUUACAACAGACAUCCUUACAUUACAUGUAUAUGACAUAACUUGUUGAAUCCCCUUAGACUUAUACCUUUAGAUUCCUGACUUGGUGUGGGCAUCCUGCAGGAAUGAAAACAGCUUCACCAAUCUUCUGUUCAAACGUCCAAGGUUCUAUGCCUGAAAUGCCGAAAUCAGAAGGUUUCUUCAGUAAAACAGAGACAUGAUAGGAUUAUGUGAUGUUUAUUAGUAUUAUACUAGUAGCAUGUGCAUACCGAACUCUUCCUUCAGUUUGACUUUGUGUGCUGAAGUCAAAUAGAAGGUUUGGUCGUGAAUUGGAUGAAUGACCUAGAUAAAUCCAAAGCAGAUACAGACAGUUUAGCACAGAGUGAAUGUAGCAAACCUGAGUUUUUAACCAUUAUAAAUUACCUGAUCAACUGGACAGCAAUAAGUGU
rnacentral:lncRNA from 1 species